GUUGCAGGGUAUAGACCCGAAACCCGGUGAUCUAGCCAUGGGCAGGUUGAAGGUUGGGUAACACUAACUGGAGGACCGAACCGACUAAUGUUGAAAAAUUAGCGGAUGACCUGUGGCUGGGGGUGAAAGGCCAAUCAAACCGGGAGAUAGCUGGUUCUCCCCGAAAGCUAUUUAGGUAGCGCCUCGUGAAUUCAUCUCCGGGGGUAGAGCACUGUUUCGGCUAGGGGGCCAUCCCGGCUUACCAACCCGAUGCAAACUGCGAAUACCGGAGAAUGUUAUCACGGGAGACACACGGCGGGUGCUAACGUCCGUCGUGAAGAGGGAAACAACCCAGACCGCCAGCUAAGGUCCCAAAGUCAUGGUUAAGUGGGAAACGAUGUGGGAAGGCCCAGACAGCCAGGAUGUUGGCUUAGAAGCAGCCAUCAUUUAAAGAAAGCGUAAUAGCUCACUGGUCGAGUCGGCCUGCGCGGAAGAUGUAACGGGGCUAAACCAUGCACCGAAGCUGCGGCAGCGACGCUGAUGCGUUGUUGGGUAGGGGAGCGUUCUGUAAGCCUGUGAAGGUGGCCUGUGAGGGUUGCUGGAGGUAUCAGAAGUGCGAAUGCUGACAUAAGUAACGAUAAAGCGGGUGAAAAGCCCGCUCGCCGGAAGACCAAGGGUUCCUGUCCAACGUUAAUCGGGGCAGGGUGAGUCGACCCCUAAGGCGAGGCCGAAAGGCGUAGUCGAUGGGAAACGGGUUAAUAUUCCCGUACUUGGUGUUACUGCGAAGGGGGGACGGAGAAGGCUAUGUUGGCCGGGCGACGGUUGUCCCGGUUUAAGCGUGUAGGUGUGUGUUCCAGGUAAAUCCGGUUCACUUUAACAC
rnacentral:rRNA from 1 species